rnacentral:pre_miRNA from 1 species
AGCUUUCUGAAUAUGUGCAGAGAUUUCGUCAGACACCAACCCAUCAGGACUGACCUGACUUUCAAGAUAAGUGAAGUU